CCUACGGGAGGCAGCAGUGAGGAAUAUUGGUCAAUGGGCGCGAGCCUGACCCAGCCAAGCCGCGUGAGGGAUGAAGGUUCUAUGGAUCGUAAACCUCUUUUUUAAGGGAAUAAAGUGUGGGACGUGUCAUAUUUUGUAUGUACCUUAUGAAUAAGGAUCGGCUAAGUCCGUGCCAGCAGCCGCGGUAAUCCGGAGGAUCCGAGCGUUAUCCGGAUUUAUUGGGUUUAAAGGGUGCGUAGGCGGCCUUUUAAGUCAGCGGUGAAAGUCUGUGGCUCAACCAUAGAAUUGCCGUUGAAACUGGGGGGCUUGAGUGUGUUUGAGGCAGGCGGAAUGCGUGGUGUAGCGGUGAAAUGCUUAGAUAUCACGCAGAACCCCGAUUGCGAAGGCAGCCUGCCAGGCCAUGACUGACGCUGAUGCACGAAAGCGUGGGGAUCAAACAGGAUUAGAUACCCGAGUAGUC
rnacentral:rRNA from 1 species